rnacentral:rRNA from 1 species
GACGAACGCUGGCGGCGUGCUUAACACAUGCAAGUCGAACGGAAAGGCCCUGCUUGCAGGGUACUCGAGUGGCGAACGGGUGAGUAACACGUGGGUGAUCUGCCCUGCACUUCGGGAUAAGCCUGGGAAACUGGGUCUAAUACCGGAUAGGAGCCAUUUUUAGUGUGAUGGUUGGAAAGUUUUUUCGGUGUAGGAUGAGCUCGCGGCCUAUCAGCUUGUUGGUGGGGUAAUGGCCUACCAAGGCGGCGACGGGUAGCCGGCCUGAGAGGGUGGACGGCCACAUUGGGACUGAGAUACGGCCCAGACUCCUACGGGAGGCAGCAGUGGGGAAGAUUGCACAAUGGGCGCAAGCCUGAUGCAGCGACGCCGCGUGGGGGAUGACGGCCUUCGGGUUGUAAACUCCCUUCGCUAGGGACGAAUCUUUUUGUGACGGUACCUAGAUAAGAAGCACCGGCUAACUACGUG